UAAAACUGCGCUGCUUGGAGGGCUGGGUGGGGUGUGUGCCAGAAGACACUGAUUCCUAAGGCAGCCACAGGGGGAGAUCCUCAGUCCUGCCAGGACCCAUCCAUCAGCUGGGAUGCUGCAACAUCAGCCCUGCCUGGGGGUGACAGCCUCCCCAACAUCCAUGGCUUCCCCAGAAGGAGAUGUGCUGUGGCCACCUUUCUCCCUCAGUGCCCCUCCCCGCUUUUCAGUCCUGUUGCUGUAAUAUGGCUGCUGCUCUGCGGAUUUCCAAGCCCCUCAGCAGCAGCUGCUGGAGGAAUAGAGACGCACAGCUAUCUGUUUUGGGAGGUCAUCAGUGAUGAGCAUGGGAUCGACCCCACUGGCAGUUACCAUGGAGACAGUGAUUUGCAGCUGGAGAGAAUCAAUGUGUACUACAAUGAAGCUGCUGGU